UAAAAUUCCAAUGUAACGUCCUUAUCCAAUAUAAUUCAAAUUUGUCAUUCAUUUAAAAAGUUUAAGAGUCAAUUUUAAAAUUAUAUUAUUAUUAUUAUUUUAAAUUAAAAUCAGAAGUCACAUUUGUUGUUAGACAGGCCACAAAACAAUGUCUUGGGGGCCAUAUGUUGAGUAGUGCUGCUCUAGUUUAAAGCUGAAUUUGUUUUCUUCAAUAUGGUUAUAUAUAUCACAUGUAUAGACUGAACUAAUUGCUGCAUUGUUAUAGUCAGUGUAAAAUUGUCAUAUAAAUCUCUAAUUGCAAUAAUUUUAUGUUGCAGUGCAGUGCUUCAGUCUGGUCAGUGUGAUCUACAGUAGAAGAGGUGAGUAAACUGCUAUAUUUUACAGUGUACAUUACUUUCUUUGACAGAACAAUUAUGGAGAUGAGAUUUUCAUCCAUGCGUUCCAAUUGCCUGACUGUGUUUUCAUAUUAACGGCAUAUUGAUCUCAGAUUGCUGGAGCAUGUUAUUUGGCUAGAUACAUAAUGGCCAUCAUGGCUCCAUUUCUAUUGCAAUGGUGUCAUCUGCCUUCUGAGAUUACAAGAUUGGAAUAUGCAGGUCUAUUAUUGCAGGAGUCUCUUGUAUAUGUACUAAUCGCACAAGCUCAUGUUGUACUUUUAGGUCCUGUUUCAUAUAAGGUCUGACAAGUUAAGUUUGACAGUAGAUGGGAGGAGAACAAUCAUUUACCAUAGAUGUGCAUUGUUGGUGAAUGGCGGUCGAGAGGGGGUGGAUGAAGACAUACUCUCAUGAGCUCCAUUGUUCCGAUGCUCUGCAGAAAUAUAUUGAUCAAAGGUGGGAGCAAAUGUGUAUGACUGGCAUGCUGGUGUGUCUCUGCAUCCGUUUUGUGCCAUUUUUGAUGACAUGCCAGUCAUUUCGAGAACCAAGUCCCUGCGUGCCAUCACAGUACCCUACAGAAUCUACUCGACAUAUGUCCCUUUGGGAGCUGGGUCCACAACUGUCCACCCAACUUACGCCUGCACCUCAGCAGCUGAGCCACACUUCCCCGGGUCAGUGAGGACAGAGUCGUUGGCACAUACAACACCUCAUCACAUUUGUCGUUCCGUAAGGGAAUGCUUCCGGGAUGUGUGGCAUCCAAAACCGAAAACGAAUGGUGGGACAGAUAUCUCAGAUCCAGUGUUGAUGUCUUGCAUAAGAAAGCUACAUCAUACUAUUGAAGUACAAUGAAGCAGCAUGUUCUGGGUGGAUUCCAGGAGGAUGAAAGUGACAGACAGAGAGAGUGAGAGAGAAGAGGAUGUAACUGCAUUAUCCUAUUUAGUACUUACACUUUAUUAUUAUUAUUAUUAUUCAAGAACGUUUUCAAACAGUGCCAUCAAAUGGCCAUUUCACUAGCAUGCAUGCACAUAUAUGAAGGCAACUAUAAUAUAACAAAUGCAAAAUCAUAAUAAUAUUUGGAUGCUUAGUUGAUGCUUUUACAAAUGGGAUUAACACAACAUUAAUAACAGGAUGCAGUUAUCCAGUUUCAGUCAGUAGGAUUAAUAUAUGUGGUGGUGGUUUAAUGAAGGCAGUUAGGUCUGAGAACCUCUUAAUGCAUUCUCAGAUUAUAGCUAAUGUAACCAGACAGCGCCAUCUGCUGUUUAAUAAAGAAAAUGUUUAUACUUUCUCUGUGAGAUAU
ensembl:lncRNA